rnacentral:rRNA from 1 species
GACGAACCGUGCGAACGUUGUUCGGAUUCACUGGGCUUAAAGGGCGCGUAGGCGGGCGGUCAAGUCAGGGGUGAAAUCUUUCGGCUCAACCGGAAAAGUGCCUUUGAUACUGGCCGUCUCGAGGGAGGUAGGGGCAUGCGGAACUUCCGGUGGAGCGGUGAAAUGCGUAGAUAUCGGAAGGAACGCCGGUGGCGAAAGCGGCGUGCUGGACCUCUUCUGACGCUGAGGCGCGAAAGCCAGGGGAGCAAACGGG